GAAAAAAAAACAAAAAACAAAAAGAAGUCCAGCAACCCUGAAGCCACUGCUCUGAGAGAGCGUGUGGAGAGGACAUGCAAAGCUAGCGAUGCCCGAGGAGCUACUCUUUGAAUUUUGGAAUUGCGGAUGAAGGUGUGUGAACCAGUCUGGGCUCGCUGAAGGAAAGCUGGCACAUGUCACAAAACAGAGAAGAAGAGGAAGCAGAGAACAGUCUCCCAGGCUCGCUAUUCCGAGACAACCUCGGGUCUGAGGGAAAUAACAGAAGCAACAGUGGCCCAAAUCCCAGGAAGAACUCCCAGUAUUCCAGCAGGGGCUUCCUAAGAACUCAUAAAAGCACCCAGAGAGCCUGAGCCGUGAACAUCUGCCGUGGCCAGAGGGGACCGAUGCUGUAGGAGCUGGAGCUAGCCAAAUACCCUCCUGUAAUUGAGUCUUGAUUUCUAUUGACGUGUUCAUGCAUGGAGUUGACUCUCAAGCUGACUGACUAUGAGGAUCAACCCACA